rnacentral:rRNA from 1 species
GACGUAGGAGGCGAGCGUUGUCCGGAUUCAUUGGGCGUAAAGAGCACGCAGGCGGUUUGGCAAGUCGGAUGUGAAAACCCGAAGCUCAACUUCGGGCCUGCAUCCGAAACUGCCCGACUAGAGGUAGGUAGGGGAGAUCGGAAUUCCUGGUGUAGCGGUGAAAUGCGCAGAUAUCAGGAAGAACACCCGUGGCGAAAGCGGCUCUCUGGAACGGUACUGACGCUGAGACGCGAAAGCGUGGGGAGCGAACAGG